GAUCCUGGCUCAGGAUGAACGCUGGCGGCGUGCUUAACACAUGCAAGUCGAACGAAGCAGCUUCUGCUGCAAGAGAGUUGACUUAGUGGCGGACGGGUGAGUAACGCGUGGGUAACCUGCCUCAUACAGGGGGAUAACAGUUGGAAACGACUGCUAAGACCGCAUAACCCGCUAGUGUCGCAUGACACGGACGGAAAAUAUUUAUAGGUAUGAGAUGGGCCCGCGUCUGAUUAGCUAGUUGGUAAGGUAACGGCUUACCAAGGCGACGAUCAGUAGCCGACUUGAGAGAGUGAUCGGCCACAUUGGGACUGAGACACGGCCCAAACUCCUACGGGAGGCAGCAGUGGGGAAUAUUGGACAAUGGGGGAAACCCUGAUCCCAGCGACGCCGCGUGAGUGAAGAAGUAUUUCGGUAUGUAAAGCUCUAUCAGCAGGGAAGAUAAUGACAGUACCUGACUAAGAAGCCCCGGCUAACUACGUGCCAGCCGCCGC
rnacentral:rRNA from 1 species